rnacentral:rRNA from 1 species
GACGAACGCUGGCGGCGUGCUUAACACAUGCAAGUCGAACGAAGUGGCGAACGGGUGAGUAACGCGUAAUCAACCUGCCCUUCAGAGGGGGACAACAGUUGGAAACGACUGCUAAUACCGCAUACUGAAGGAGUGGAAUGCGUCUGAUGUGCUAGUGGGAGGGGUAACGGCCCACCAUGGCGAUGAUCAGUAGCCGGUCUGAGGGGUUGAACGGCCACAUUGGGACUGAGGCACGGCCCAGACUCCUACGGGAGGCAGCAGUGGGGAAUCUUCCGCAAUGGACGAAAGUCUGACGGCGCAACGCCGCGUGAGUGAUGACGGCCUUCGGGUUGGAAAGCUCUGUUAAUCGGGACGCGGUACCGGAAUAGAAAGCCACGGCUAACUACGUGCCAGCAGCCGCGGUAAUAC